GGGAGAGGGAGGAGGACGUGAGCCACCCUGAUCCACACGUUCUCCACGCAGGCAGAGAAGACAAUGUAUCUUCACAGCUCUCCCACUGUGUGGCUACUUGGAGGAAAUAUGCUGCCAAAUGAAUGAAGGAAAGAAGGUGGAAUGGUAAUUCCUCAAAUGACAAAAUGAAUUUAUCUACAUUUCUAAUAAUGAAAUCAGCUUCAUCACUGGAAUGGGAUCCUGGUAGCAGACUUCUCAGUCAUCUUGCAGCAAUGUGGGUACCACGGGAUCUUGGAACUGAGCAUACUUUUUAUAGAAAACUCUGAAAGUAGGAUGACCAGAAGACAGCAGCAGGAAUUAAACUAAAGCCAAGAAACUGAGCACAGCUCCUUGGACAAAUCUUAAUCUUGGCUGAUGCCAUAUCUGGUGGGGGUGAGCUGAAGUGUACUUCACUGUGCAUAGAGAGAGAAACCUGCUUUUGAAACUCCUUCCAGAAGCAUACUAUCUUUUCAUUUUUCCACCACAAAGAGAGCUCCCAGAUGAUUAUGCACUCUUCUGCCCAGUGAACAAAAGGAAGCAUAAUCUGGACUAACUACAGGUUGAAUAUCCCAGGUUCUUCUCAGGUUAUGGUUGGCUGAGCUAUACUUAUUGAACACCUGCUGUAAAUAACCAUCAUGAAGAUGAAGCCUUGUAGGUUCCAAUUGUGGUUUACCCACAGAGUGUUCUGGGCAAAUCACUCUGUGAUUCUGUUUUCCGUGUCAUUAAAAGAGGAGAGUAUUACCACCCUCCUAAAAUGGGUAUUGUGAGGAUUAAAUGGAAACAAAAUAGGUUUUGUGGAAAUUGUAAAUGUUACCUUAACACUACACCAAUGUUAGUUAUUUUUUCCCAGUAUCUGAAAUUUGGGAGGAAAGAAUAAAAGACAGAAAAAUGAAAAAGAAGAGGAAGAGAAGGAAGAAGAGAGGAAGGACAUGUUUGCUUCUCCUGCCAUGGCUGGAAGUUUCCUGAGGCCUCCCCAGCCAUCCUGAACUAGGUACCUGGUGCCAGUUCCUGAGACUUGAGGAUUCUGGUUGGUUCUCAGCACAGGAGUCAGCCUGCUCUGAUUUGCUAGUGAUGUCCUAACCAAUCUCCCUGAAAAAUUAUCUGUGAAAUUUAUUUCUAUACAUCCAACAAGCACAAUGAACUCUAGGUAGAAUAAAUUCAGUGAGGUCCACAUCAAGAACAUUGUAAUCAAACUGUUGAAUGUCAAAGACAGAGAAUCUUGAAAGCAACAAGAAAGAAUCAACUAUCAUGUACAAGGGAACCUUAGUAAGAUGAACAGUUGGCUAUUUAUCAGGAACUAUGGAAGCCAGAAAACAGUGGGCAUAUUUAAAGUGCUGAAAGAAAAGAACCUAUCAACCAAGAAUUCUGUAUCUGGCAAAAUUGCCCUUCAAAAGUGAGGAAGAAAUUGAGAUAUUCCCAAUAAACAAAAGCUGAGGGGUUCACUACAAGUAGACCUGCCCUGCAAGAAAUGCUACAAGAUGUCCUCAAGUUGAAAUGAAAGGACACUAAAUGGUAACUUGAAGCUGUAUGAAGAAAUAAAGGUCUACAGUAAAGGUAACUACAUGGGCAAAUAUAAAAGCAAGUAUUAUUGUGUAGCAUAAUGGAGAAUAUAUGUGGUCUCUCUGGUCUUUGUACCUGGCUCCUGGCACAGAGCUUCAAAAGCCCUUGGAAUUUCCUGAGUGACAAGAGUAUAUUUUUUAUGCUAAUGAGGUGACUCUUUGUAGGUUCCUAGAUAGCUUCAGAAUGGGGCUGAUCACCAGAAAGAUCAAUCACAUGAUUAGAUGAUGGCAACUUCUGGGAAGGGUAUCUUUAUGUCCUAUAUACGGGAAUCCUCAAAGUCCAGGUGAUGCUAAUUCUGUUGGUCACUGGACCAUAUUUUGAGCAGCAAAGAAAUAGCAUAAUAGCAUUUGUUAAAACUGGUCAGACUGUAAGCAUCACCUGAAGUGCUUAUUAAAAAUACCAUCCAGAUUACCUGACCCUACUCUACAUCUGCCAAAUCAGAAUUAAUCAACUUCUCAGGAGGCUUUUGUAAUUCAAUAAAUUUGGGAAAUGCUGAGGUAGGGCAGAGCUAAAUGUGGCCCCUAAGAGAUGAAGUGGUGAGUCACUGGGAUAGCGCCCAAAGGGAUGUGGACAGGAGCUGCUGGACAUGCCCUUGGCUCUCACCUUCAAAGGGAAGUGGACUGUGUGAGUUCCCUCUCACGAUUAUCUCAGGUCAGUAUUUGCCUUUGUAAUUGAUGGAGAACUUCUUAAUUUCUCUCUCUAGUGCGUCUAGAGUGUUGACAGUUGUUUCCAUGGACUUCAAAUCAACCCAACCCUGUGAGCACAGACUUUCAGCACCAGAGUCAGAUUUCCCAAAAAUGCUAUUCUUGAAGCGUAGAGCCAGACUCACAGAUCCUGUAAAGAAAACAGAUCUUUCAGCAAGUGAAACACCCAAUCUUCCAUUGCAUGGGACUCACAGAGGUUCUGAGGGAGAGAUGUGAAUAGAAGGAGUGAUCAUCACUGUGGACUCUAUUUCUUCCAUCUGUGCGUGCAAGAUUUAUAUCUGUAUGUGUUUGUUUUAAAGUUUUAUUGAGGUAUAAUUGAUACACAAUAAUCUGUACCUAUUUAAUGUAUACAAUUUGAUGAGUUUGGACAUACUUAAAUACCUGUGAAACCAUCACCACAAUCAAGGUAAUAGACAUAGCCAUCACCUCCAAAAGUUUCUUUGUGUCCCUUUGUGGUUUGUUUCUGAGAUAAGAACACUUAACAUGUGGACUCUUGACACUCUCCUUGGAUCUCUUAAUUUGAUUGCUGUUGCUGUCACCACAUUGACUUCCUAGCCCUGCUGAUCCUCCUUUAUCACUAGCUCUAGAAAAAAAAACAAACCAAACACCACUAAUUCAUUUAUUCAGUAAUUCAACAAAAAAACCAUUGAGCACUUAAUAUUUGCAGAAUACAUGGCUAGAUGCAGAGGAUUCAAAGAAUUGAGUGAAGUCACAUAAAGUGUUAAGAACAGUGUGUGAUACAAACAUGAAAUAUGUUAGCUGUUAGAAUUUCAAACUCACUUCCAUAUCAAUUAUAAUAAGGAUUUCCAUAAAUAGCAGAAUAGUAUUUCUAUUAGAUGCUCACAGAUGCUAAUAAAACAGUAGAAUGGUAAAAACCAUGCAUCCCCCAAGGCAAGAGAAGGUGAGCUAUUUUGCCUCGGUGGCUCAAUAUUCCAUCAAUGGGUCCUGCUUUAAACUGCAAGUACCUGCCUUCCUUCUUUCAACAGACUGACUCCACGUUGCUUUAGGAAAGAUUCACUGAAACAAAGGAAUAAACCACCCAAGAUAUAGUGUUUUUAAAAACAUUUUUUAAUGAAGAAAUUAUUCCACUCCAAAAUAUAGACACACAAUUAAAUAGUUUAAUCACUUCAAAAUAUAACAUGUCCCCAGGAGGUUCCAACACACACACACACACACACACACAAAACAAUACUUAACAGCAAUACAAAAAUCCAUACAAUAGUAUUUUUUUUUUACAAUACCAAUGAAUAUUGUGAAAUCUUUAGUGUCUCUGAAUUGAUUAUUUCAAAUGGUGUCAAAUUGCAGUAGUCAUAAUUAAAAAUGUCUUACAGUUAAUUCGCCUCAA
rnacentral:lncRNA from 1 species